CCCCUAGAUGUUCUGGGCCGCACGCGCGCUACACUGAACAGUUCAACAAGUCUUAACCUUGGCCGAUAGGUCUGGGUAAUCUUUGAACGCUGUUCGUGAUUGGGAUAGACCUUUGCAAUUAUGGGUCUUCAACGAGGAAUUCCUAGUAAACGCAAGUCAUCAGCUUGCAUUGAUUACGUCCCUGCCCUUUGUACACACCGCCCGUCGCACCUACCGAUUGAAUGACUCGGUGAAAUCCCCGGACUGCAGCCUUGACACCCUCGGGUGACUCGGCAGUGGAAAGCGGAUUAAACCUCGCCAUUUAGAGGAAGGUGAAGUCGUAACA
rnacentral:rRNA from 1 species